AUAUACUUGUCAAGCAACUUGGUGAAGAGGACUCAAGGACACGAGACUCCCAAAACUGGAUGAAGACAUUUAAGAUGCGUGAACUUCAGAUGAAUGCACAGAAGCAGAAAGGCCAGGCUCUGAAUGCAACUUCUGCUCAGAAAGCAAUUGAUAUCUUGAAGGCUCAUCCUGACUUGAUACAGGCAUUCCAAGCUGCCGCUGCAGCUGGAGGAUCUGGCAGUUCUAGUGCUUCUGUCAACAAAUCCCUAAAUGCAGCAAUAAUUGGGGAGACACUUCCGCGGGGCAGAGGAGUCGAUGAAAGGGCUGCUCGGGCUGCAGCAGAAGUUAGGAAGAAAGCAGCAGCUAGAGGCCUCUUGAUUCGCCCACAUGGUGUUCCUGUCCAAGCUUUGCCACCACUUACUCAGCUCCUAAACAUCAUUAAUUCAGGGAUGACCCCUGAUGCAGUUGACAACGAGGAAGCAAAUAGUGUGAAGAAGGAAGCCAAUGGUCAACCUUCUGAUGGGGCUGUAGAUACAAAAAAA
rnacentral:misc_RNA from 1 species